rnacentral:tRNA from 1 species
ACAUAUGUAGCUCAGUGGAAGAGCACUUGUCUAACAUCCAUGAGCCCUGGGUUCAAUCCCCAGUAUUGCA